ACACGACUACAUUAGAUACCCGUGUAGUCCUAGCCGUAAACGAUACUCGCUAGGUGUCGGCCACGGUGCGACCGUUGUCGGUGCCGUAGGGAAGCCGUGAAGCGAGCCACCUGGGAAGUACGGCCGCAAGGCUGAAACUUAAAGGAAUUGGCGGGGGAGCACAACAACGGGUGGAGCUUGCGGUUUAAUUGGGUUCAACGCCGGAAAUCUUACCGGGAAGACUGUUACAUGAAGGCCGAGAUGAAGACUCUGCUAGAUUUUCAG
rnacentral:rRNA from 1 species